GGCUUCAUAGCUCAGUUGGUCAGAGCACUUCACUGGCAUUGAAGAGGUCAUGAGUUCGAGUCCCGUAGAAGACA
rnacentral:tRNA from 1 species